UACGUAGGGGGCAAGCGUUGUCCGGAAUCAUUGGGCGUAAAGAGCGUGUAGGUGGCUCGGUAAGUCCGCUGUAAAAGUCCAGGGCUCAACCCUGGAAAGCCGGUGGAAACUGUCGAGCUAGAGUCCGGAAGAGGAGAGUGGAAUUCCCGGUGUAGCGGUGAAAUGCGCAGAUAUCGGGAAGAACACCCGUGGCGAAGGCGGCUCUCUGGGACGGUACUGACGCUGAGACGCGAAAGCGUGGGGAGCGAACAGG
rnacentral:rRNA from 1 species